UAAAGCGUGCGCAGGCGGUUUGUAAGACUGUCGUGAAAUCCCCGGGCUCAACCUGGGAAUGGCGAUGGUGACUGCAAGGCUAGAGUUUGGCAGAGGGGGGUAGAAUUCCACGUGUAGCAGUGAAAUGCGUAGAUAUGUGGAGGAACACCGAUGGCGAAGGCAGCCCCCUGGGUCAAAACUGACGCUCAUGCACGAAAGCGUGGGGAGCAAACAGGAUUAGAUACCCCAGU
rnacentral:rRNA from 1 species